rnacentral:rRNA from 1 species
GACGAACGCUGGCGGCGUGCUUAACACAUGCAAGUCGAGCGAUGAAGUUUCUUCGGAAAUGGAUUAGCGGCGAACGGGUGAGGAACACGUGAAGAAUCUGCCCUCCACUUUGGGAUAACACAGGGAAACCUGUGCUAAUACCGAGUAUUGAAACAUAAGUGGCAUCACUGAGUUUUGAAAGAAUUCCGGUGGAGGAUGACUUCGCGGCCUAUCAGCUAGUUGGUGAGGUAAUGGCUCACCAAGGCAACGACGGGUAGCCGGCCUGAGAGGGCGACCGGCCACACUGGGACUGAGACACGGCCCAGACUCCUACGGGAGGCAGCAGUGGGGAAUAUUGGGCAAUGGAGGAAACUCUGACCCAGCGACGCCGCGUGCGGGAUGAAGGCCUUCGGGUUGUAAACCGCUUUCAGUAGGGAAGAAGCGAAAGUGACGGUACCUACAAAAGAAGCACCGGCUAACUAUGUGCCAGCAGCCGCAGUAA